rnacentral:tRNA from 2 species
CAAGGGGUAGUUUAAUUUAGAAUACUAGCUUUGGGAGUUAGUGGCGGGAGUUUAAUUCUCUUCCCCUUGA